CAGCCGCCACGGUAAUACGGAGGGGGCUAGCGUUGUUCGGAAUUACUGGGCGUAAAGCGCACGUAGGCGGCUUGGUAAGUUAGAGGUGAAAGCCCGGAGCUCAACUCCGGAAUUGCCUUUAAGACUGCCGAGCUAGUAGGUGAGAGAGGUAAGUGGAAUUCCGAGUGUAGGGGUGAAAUUCGUAGAUUUUCGGAAGAACACCAGUGGCGAAGGCGGCUUACUGGCUCAUUCUAGAAGCUGAGGUGCGAAAGCGUGGGGAGCAAACAGGAUUAGAUACCCCAGUAGUCCCUGUCUCUUAUAC
rnacentral:rRNA from 1 species